rnacentral:rRNA from 1 species
UGGGGAAUUUUGGACAAUGGGCGAAAGCCUGAUCCAGCAAUGCCGCGUGUGUGAAGAAGGCCUUCGGGUUGUAAAGCACUUUUGUCCGGAAAGAAAUCCUUGGCUCUAAUACAGUCGGGGGAUGACGGUACCGGAAGAAUAAGCACCGGCUAACUACGUGCCAGCAGCCGCGGUAAUACGUAGGGUGCAAGCGUUAAUCGGAAUUACUGGGCGUAAAGCGUGCGCAGGCGGUUUGCUAAGACCGAUGUGAAAUCCCCGGGCUCAACCUGGGAACUGCAUUGGUGACUGGCAGGCUAGAGUAUGGCAGAGGGGGGUAGAAUUCCACGUGUAGCAGUGAAAUGCGUAGAGAUGUGGAGGAAUACCGAUGGCGAAGGCAGCCCCCUGGGCCAAAUACUGACGCUCAUGCACGAAAGCGUGGGGAGCAAACAGGAUUAGAUACCCUGGUAGUCCACGCCCUAAACGAUGUCAACUAGUUGUUGGGGAUUCAUUUCCUAGUAACGUAGCUAACGCGUGAGGUUGACCGCCUGGGGAGUACGGUCGCAAGAUUAAAACUCAAAGGAAUUGACGGGGUCAUAGCUGUUUCCU